GCCAGGUGCAGUGGUGCGUGCCUGUAGUCCCAGCUAUUCAGGAGGCUGAGGCUGGAGGAUCUCUUGAGGCCAAGAGUUCUGGGCUGUAAUGCGCUAUGCUGAUUGGGUGUCAGCACUAAGUUCGGCAUCAAUAUGGUGACCUCCUGGGAGCGGGGGACCACCAGGUUGCCUAAGGAGGGAUGAACCGGCCUAGGUCAGAAACGGAGCAGGUGAAAACUCCCAUGCUGAUCAGUAGUGGGAUCGCGCCUGUGAAUAGCCACUGCACUCCAGCCUGGGCAACAUAGCGAGACCCCGUCUCU
rnacentral:SRP_RNA from 1 species